UCCCUGGUGGUCUAGCGGCUAAGGAUCCUGUGCUCUCACUUCUGUGGCCCUGGUUCGAUUUCCCGGCAGGGAG